rnacentral:rRNA from 1 species
AUGGCCGCGGCCGCCACGGGGCGGGUCAACGAACGGGAUGGAAGGAGCGCUGGCAGGGCAGGGGAGGAAGUGCCCCGUGCGCUACGGCCGUCGCGGUCGUCCAGCACGACGCACAAGCAGCUGAGGGACGGCAGUGACUGGGGUGACGGCGAGGCAUGGUGGACCGCGAGGCGGGAGAGGAGGUGGCACCGGUGGAGGAGGACGACGCGGGCGGCGAUGGUGUUGCAGGCGUCCAGGAGCGCGACGCCGGUGUCGAGGUGCGCGGCGACGGCGACGGUGUCCUUCCCGUCCCAGGGCCCAGCGGCGAGCGCGGGCACGGCGUCCGCAAGGGUGGCCGCGAGGAGACCGGCCAGUCGCGCGAGAAGGCCGGCCAGGCGCGCGAGGAGGAAGGUGACCCCGAUCCAGAUCCUCGCCGGGGAGUAG